rnacentral:rRNA from 1 species
GUUAAAAAGCUCGUAGUUGGAUUUCUGGUGGGAGCGACCGGUCCGCUCCGCAAGGAGUGUGCACUGGCGUCGUCUCCCGCCAUCCUUUGGGAGAGCCGUUCUGGCAUUAAAUUAUCGGAGCGGGGAUCCCAAUCGUUUACUGUGAGAAAAUUAGAGUGUUCAACGCAGGCUUUACGCCUUGAAUAUAUUAGCAUGGAAUAAUGAGAUAGGACCUUGGUUUCUAUUUUGUUGGUUUGCGGGCCAAGGUAAUGAUUAAUAGGGACAGUUGGGGGUAUUCGUAUUCAAUUGUCAGAGGUGAAAUUCUUGGAUUUAUGGGAGACGAACUACUGCGAAAGCAUUUACCAAGGAUGUUUUCACUAAUCAAGAACGAAAGUUAGGGGAUCGAAGAUGAUUAGAUACCAUCGUAGUCCUAACCAUAAACUAUGCCGACUAGGGAUUGGCGGUCGUUCUUUGUCGACUCCGUCAGCACCUUAUGAGAAAUCAGAGUCUUUGAGUUCCGGGGGGAGUAUGGUCGCAAGGCUGAAACUUAAAGGAAUUGACGGAAGGGCACCACCAGGAGUGGAGCCUGCGGCUUAAUUUGACUCAACACGGGAAAACUUACCAGGUCCAGACAUAGGAAGGAUUGACAGAUUGAGAGCUCU